ACGGGAGGCAGCAGUGAGGAAUAUUGGUCAAUGGUCGGAAGACUGAACCAGCCAAGUCGCGUGCAGGAAGACGGUCCUAUGGAUUGUAAACUGCUUUUGUACGGGAAUAAAAUGCAGGACGUGUCCUGUUUGGAAUGUACCGUAAGAAUAAGGGUCGGCUAACUCCGUGCCAGCAGCCGCGGUAAUACGGAGGACCCGAGCGUUAUCCGGAUUUAUUGGGUUUAAAGGGUGCGCAGGCGGAGGAUUAAGUCAGCGGUGAAAUUUUCAUGCUCAACAUGAAAACUGCCAUUGAUACUGGUCCCCUUGAGAGAUGUCGAGGAUGGCGGAAUGUGAUGUGUAGCGGUGAAAUGCUUAGAUAUGUCACAGAACACCGAUCGCGAAGGCGGCUGUCCAGAGAUCAUCUGACGCUCAGGCACGAAAGCAUGGGUAUCAAACAGGAUUAGAUACCCUGGUA
rnacentral:rRNA from 1 species